rnacentral:rRNA from 1 species
UUUGAUGGCGACCGGCGCACGGGUGAGUAACACGUAUCCAACCUGCCGAUGACUCGGGGAUAGCCUUUCGAAAGAAAGAUUAAUACCCGAUGGCAUAGUUCUUCCGCAUGGUAGAACUAUUAAAGAAUUUCGGUCAUCGAUGGGGAUGCGUUCCAUUAGGUUGUUGGCGGGGUAACGGCCCACCAAGCCUUCGAUGGAUAGGGGUUCUGAGAGGAAGGUCCCCCACAUUGGAACUGGGACACGGUCCAA